GGGUCAAUGAUGAGAACUCAUAUGGUCUUGAAGAGAGAUCAUGACCUAAAAAUCAUUCUCAAUAGAAGUACGCUGAGGCCC
ensembl:snoRNA SNORD115 Small nucleolar RNA SNORD115